rnacentral:tmRNA from 1 species
UAAAGACGUCAGACAGGAGGGCCGCUCCGGAGGAACUGCACCCGCACUCCGGCUAAGACAAGGGAGCUGGGGAGGAGAGAUCCGGUCACCGGGAGCUCGAAUCCGACACGAAAUCGGUGACUACGCUCGUAGAGCCUGUCUGGUUGGCCACUGUCGGACCGGAGUUCGAUGCUCCGCGCCUCCACCA